UACGAAGGGGGCUAGCGUUGCUCGGAAUUACUGGGCGUAAAGCGUACGUAGGCGGAUCCUUAAGUCGGUGGUGAAAUCCUGAAGCUCAACUUCAGAACUGCCUUCGAUACUGGGGACCUUGAGUUCGGGAGAGGUGAGUGGAACUGCGAGUGUAGAGGUGAAAUUCGUAGAUAUUCGCAAGAACACCAGUGGCGAAGGCGGCUCACUGGCCCGAUACUGACGCUGAGGCACGAAAGCGUGGGGAGCAAACAGG
rnacentral:rRNA from 1 species